rnacentral:tRNA from 1 species
GCCGAAGUGGCGAAACUGGUAGACGCAUCAGACUCAAAAUCUGACGUGGUUCACCCCACGUGUCGGUUCGAUUCCGACCUUCGGCA